GUUAAUUUAAGGGAAAGGGAUGUCAUGGAUUGGACCAUUCGGUUCUACCCUCUUCUUGCUGCUUUCUUUCUUCUUAUACUUCUUCUUCUCUGCUGUUGUCUUCUUCUUGCUGCGUUCUGCUUUUUCUCCCUAUUAUUUCUCCUUCUUCUGUUCUUCUUCUGCUCAUUCGAUUGGAAAUUAACUGGUUCUGGUUGAAGUUGGGUUCCAACCAUAACACAAAUUUGUCGCAAGCAGUCCUUCUGCGACAACCACAGCCUUGACCCACUUCUUCCCCAAUUAUUGCUUUCUGUUUUACAUUUUUUUCCCUUUCCCCUUUGUAGAAAUGGGUUUCUGAUUGUGUUUAAUUUUAGGAUUUUUUUGGUGCAAGGGGUUGAAGAAUAGAAGUGUGAACCAAUUGCUACUGUCAUCGGCCAUGAGAAGCUUAACGUCGCCGACUAAUGCGACGACGUUGGCAUUCUCAGUAUCGCCUGGGCCUUUGGUGGCAUGAUCUUCAUCCUCGUUUACUGUAUCUCCAGCAUCUCAGGUACUCAAUUCCCUACCUCAAAUUCGUCUCUAAAAGCAUCACCUUUUCCUUGAAAUUUCCCUGAAUUUCUCUCUCUAUUUGUGCUGCAGGUGGUCACAUAAACUCGGCUGAUUUUUUGUUCAGUUUUUCGGCAUCCUCUCAAAGAUUUUAUAGAUUAAGAGAGCGUUACUUUAUGCUGGUAUCAGUGAUGCUGUUUGGGAAACAAGAAAAAGUAUAGAAGGUGGAGUCUUUAUCUGAAUUCAGUAUCACGAGUAUUAUAAUGUUUAUAUUAGUUAAAAGGAGA
rnacentral:lncRNA from 1 species